rnacentral:rRNA from 3 species
CGCUAGUAAUCGUGGAUCAGAAUGCCACGGUGAAUACGUUCCCGGGCCUUGUACACACCGCCCGUCACACCAUGGGAGUGGGUUGCAAAAGAAGUAGGUAGCUUAACCUUCGGGAGGGCGCUUACCACUUUGUGAUUCAUGACUGGGGUGAAGUCGUAACAAGGUAACCGUAGGGGAACCUGCGGUUGGAUCACCUCCUUACCUUAAAGAAGC